rnacentral:tRNA from 1 species
GUCGUGGUGGCUGUGUGGUUAAGGCGUCGGACUCGGAGUCCGAUGGGGUUUCCCCGCGCAGGUUCGGAUUCUGCCGGCGACG